GGCCGGUUAGCUCAGUUGGUUAGAGUGUGGUGCUAAUAACGCUUUUUCAAGGUCAUGGGUUCGAUCCCCAUACUGGCUA